AAUGCUUCUCGGCUUUUUGGCUAAGAUCAAGUGUAGUACAUGGAAAGAUUCUCUUAAAUAUGGUAAUCACUUUUUUCAGCUAUGAAAAAGUGUUUUGCUCCAUUUCUACAUUGAGAAUGGUUGAAUGAACCAUGC
rnacentral:snRNA from 1 species